UACAGAGGGGGCAAGCGUUGUUCGGAAUUACUGGGCGUAAAGGGCGCGUAGGCGGCCUGUUAAGUCGAACGUGAAAUCCCCGGGCUCAACCCGGGAACUGCGUCCGAUACUGGCAGGCUUGAAUUCGGGAGAGGGAUGCGGAAUUCCAGGUGUAGCGGUGAAAUGCGUAGAUAUGCGGAGGAACACCAGUGGCGAAGGCGGCCUCCUGGUACACUCCUGACACUCAGACGCGAAAGCUAGGGAAGCGAACGGG
rnacentral:rRNA from 1 species